GCCACAGAGAGAAGUGAAGAGAGGCAGGAGAGUCACAGGUGUGCUGUCGGUGAGCUUUGGGAGAGCGGUGGCUGCAGGCUGGUGGAUGGAACCAGGCAGACUGUGGACGGUCCUGUGCCUGGCGGAUGAGUCCUGUGCCUGGGUCUGGUGGAUCUAGAACGGGGCAAGAUGGAGCAGCAGACAAAGAGGCAUUGGGGACCUGGAGCCUGGGUCCAGGCCCGAGACUGAAGGACUUGACCUCCUGUGCCCUCCUCUGGCUGAAGGAUUUGAUGAUCUCUCUGGAACCUAUUUCUGGAUCACUUCCAAGAAGAGGCAGCCAUCAACGGGCUGGACAUAAGGAAGACCAGUGGCUGCUGAGGAGGCCUGGGGGAGAGACGUGUCCACUUCCGGUGCUCCAUUCUGGAUGGUCGCUCACCAAGUCAGCGAGAUCCCUCUCAGGGAAUUUUGAAUGAGAGAUGGGGAGAAAGAAAAACUCAACGAGAUGCAAAAGCAAUAGACGCAGAGGAGGAGAGGAGGAGGCAGAGAGAGGCUGGCAAGACGGAGAGGUUGAUGCAUGUGCAGCUCGCAUCCUGGGGCAGAACCUGGAUCAAGAUGGCUGUCACCAGAGCAGCUGGAGGGGCCACAGCACAGUCAGGGUUGUACCCUGCACAGCCCUCCACCAAGGGCUGCUUUCCUGAACAUCCUUCCCAGUGUCACUUGAUGUAACCUGAAUGAGUCUAAUAAACUUGAAAAAACC
rnacentral:lncRNA from 1 species